AAGCCGUGCUUGGAGCAGAAGAAGUUGAGGAAAAAUCCUCAGUUCUGAGAAAUUCUGGAGCUUGAAGCUUGCUCGGAGGAGGUGCAUGCCAGGCAGGAGAACGGUGGUGCGCGAGAUCUGCAUGUCUUCUGCCCCCACUCAGAGGAAGCCCCAGCCUACAGUGAGGGGGUGCCCAGAAGGACUUAUAAUCUGGACUCAAGAAGAUUCAUCCAUGUUGAUGCAUCAACUGUAGCUCAUUCGUUUUCACGGCUUAUAAUAGUUCAUUGGGUGAACAGACACAAUGUUAAAAAAAUUAUGCCUG
rnacentral:lncRNA from 1 species